rnacentral:lncRNA from 1 species
UUUCAUUUCAAUUCUAGAAUCUGGAUAGAGAGGUCGCUGCAAAGAGAAUUAGGGGAAAGAGGGAGUCGAUCACCCUCCUACAGCCUCCCUCAACGGUGCUUUUUUAGGAUCAUAUGGAGGUUAACUAUUUGAUCAACAAACAAGGAAAAUUGUGCAACAAAAGGUAUAGAAAAAUUGGUGGUACACAACAAUGGCACUUCUACAAUGGGAUUUGUUCAUUUUGCUCAAAGAUCAAUAAGUGAUAAAACUUUAUUUAGCAUGCAGUUUGACAUAUUAAUCUUUGUUAAUGGACAUAUAGUUAUCCUCUUUCUUUUAAUGGAUAUGUCAUUGAAGAUAUAUAAAAUGGAAUCUGUAUGUUAAUUCUAGGGCGAUACCGGCAAACGCUAUAACUAACAAAAGGAGUCACGAGUCAUGAUUUCUAUUUAUGAUUUUUAUACACGAGUUCAUGGAGGUGGUGCAAUGGUUUGGAGGAUACUGAGAGGAACUUUUGUCAGGCGUUAUAGAAGACAUUGCCUGUAGAUGAGCUGUUUUAUCCAAAGGAGCAUUUUUCUUUGUUGGAACCGAGCAAAAGCGAGACCAUAAACAUGGUAAAUAUA